GACCUUAUGGUGUAAUGUUAUCACAUCUGACUCCAGAUCAGAAGUUAUGGGUUCGAUUCCCAUUGAGGUCC